rnacentral:rRNA from 1 species
UGCAGUCGAGCGGAUGACGGGAGCUUGCUCCUUGAUUCAGCGGCGGACGGGUGAGUAAUGCCUAGGAAUCUGCCUGGUAGUGGGGGACAACGUUUCGAAAGGAACGCUAAUACCGCAUACGUCCUACGGGAGAAAGCAGGGGACCUUCGGGCCUUGCGCUAUCAGAUGAGCCUAGGUCGGAUUAGCUAGUUGGUGGGGUAAUGGCUCACCAAGGCGACGAUCCGUAACUGGUCUGAGAGGAUGAUCAGUCACACUGGAACUGAGACACGGUCCAGACUCCUACGGGAGGCAGCAGUGGGGAAUAUUGGACAAUGGGCGAAAGCCUGAUCCAGCCAUGCCGCGUGUGUGAAGAAGGUCUUCGGAUUGUAAAGCACUUUAAGUUGGGAGGAAGGGCAGUAAGCUAAUACCUUGCUGUUUUGACGUUACCGACAGAAUAAGCACCGGCUAACUCUGUGCCAGCAGCCGCGGUAAUACAGAGGGUGCAAGCGUUAAUCGGAAUUACUGGGCGUAAAGCGCGCGUAGGUGGUUUGUUAAGUUGGAUGUGAAAGCCCCGGGCUCAACCUGGGAACUGCAUCCAAAACUGGCAAGCUAGAGUACGGUAGAGGGUGGUGGAAUUUCCUGUGUAGCGGUGAAAUGCGUAGAUAUAGGAAGGAACACCAGUGGCGAAGGCGACCACCUGGACUGAUACUGACACUGAGUGCGAAAGCGUGGGGAGCAAACAGGAUUAGAUACCCUGG